UACCAACUCAGAUUGGAAGUGUUAAGAAGU
rnacentral:piRNA from 1 species